UAUAUUUGGCAUUACACUUUCUUGGUAAAGUACAGAUUCUGGUAUUUUUGUUGGGUGAGUCUUAUCCGGGAUUCGGUCACACACUCUAAGAGUCAGGCACCUAACAUCCAGCACACAAA